UACGGAGGAGGCAAGCGUUAUCCGGAAUUAUUGGGCGUAAAGCGUCCGCAGGUGGCACUUCAAGUCUGUCGUCAAAGACUGGGGCUUAACCCUGGAAAGGCGGUGGAAACUGAAGCGCUAGAGUGCGGUAGGGGUAGAGGGAAUUCCCGGUGUAGCGGUGAAAUGCGUAGAGAUCGGGAAGAACAUCGGUGGCGAAAGCGCUCUACUGGACCGAAACUGACACUCAGGGACGAAAGCUAGGGGAGCGAAUGGG
rnacentral:rRNA from 1 species